AUUGAACGCUGGCGGCAUGCCUUACACAUGCAAGUCGAACGGCAGCACGGGAGCUUGCUCCUGGUGGCGAGUGGCGAACGGGUGAGUAAUACAUCGGAACGUACCCUGAAGUGGGGGAUAACGUAGCGAAAGUUACGCUAAUACCGCAUAUUCUGUGAGCAGGAAAGAGGGGGAUCGCAAGACCUCUUGCUUUAGGAGCGGCCGAUGUCGGAUUAGCUAGUUGGUGAGGUAAAGGCUCACCAAGGCGACGAUCCGUAGCGGGUCUGAGAGGAUGAUCCGCCACACUGGGACUGAGACACGGCCCAGACUCCUACGGGAGGCAGCAGUGGGGAAUUUUGGACAAUGGGCGCAAGCCUGAUCCAGCCAUGCCGCGUGAGUGAAGAAGGCCUUCGGGUUGGUAAAGGUACU
rnacentral:rRNA from 1 species